rnacentral:rRNA from 1 species
GAUCUAUUUAACUCUGGUUGUGGAAGAUAUGAAGACAGGUUUACAUAAGAUUAUUAUAUUGGGUUUUUACAAGAAGGAUGUUGUGUUUAGCUUAGUAACUAGAAUUUUAGGAUGGGGGUAACCCCGAUUGGGCUGUUUUCAGUGGAGUGGUGAAUGCUCAGUGCCAGCAUCCGCGGUUAUUCUGUUAGCUUUUUCUUCGGGAGGAUUGGCAUAAAAUAUUUAGGAUUUAGGGUUUUCAGAUUUGGGUAAAAUUUUUCUGAGGUUGAAACAAGAUUCUAAGGAUUUCGGCUUUAUGGUUAUAGAGGAGGAUUAGAUACCCUCGUAUAGAUAGAUUGAGUUUGUGUCCUUAGUAUAAACUAAAAGGGUUUGGCAGCUGGUAAAAUUCGGCCGGGGGAACGUGUGUCAUAAUAGAUAGUCCGCUUAGUAGCUGACCUUAAUUAUGUUUGUUAGUGUAUAUCCGGGUUGAAGAUUUGUGAUUUGUGUCUAUGAGUGUAAUAUUUGGAUUUAAGCCAGGUCAAUGUGCUGCUAAUAUUAGGGGGGAUUAUGCGUUACGUUAAUAAAAUGUUUGUUGUGGGUGCGACAAAUAUAUUUAGGACUCGGAAGUAGGCUUGAUGUAGUGGUUUUGAAGUUAGUGCUUUAGGUCGAAUGUGAUUUUAGCUGGGGUACACACCGCCCGUCANNNCCCAGGACGUUAGUCGUGGUAAGUCGUAACAUGGUAGUGCUUGGGGAACC